UUCAAAGAGACAUAAAAGAUAGACUGCGAAG
rnacentral:piRNA from 1 species